rnacentral:rRNA from 1 species
AUUGAACGCUGGCGGCAUGCCUUACACAUGCAAGUCGAACGGUAACGCGGGGCAACCUGGCGACGAGUGGCGAACGGGUGAGUAAUGCAUCGGAACGUGCCUGGUAGUGGGGGAUAACUGCUCGAAAGAGCAGCUAAUACCGCAUACGACCUGAGGGUGAAAGGGGGGGAUCGCAAGACCUCUCGCUAUUGGAGCGGCCGAUGUCAGAUUAGGUAGUUGGUGGGGUAAAAGCCCACCAAGCCGACGAUCUGUAGCUGGUCUGAGAGGACGACCAGCCACACUGGGACUGAGACACGGCCCAGACUCCUACGGGAGGCAGCAGUGGGGAAUUUUGGACAAUGGGGGCAACCCUGAUCCAGCCAUUCCGCGUGAGUGAAGAAGGCCUUCGGGUUGUAAAGCUCUUUCGCAAGGGAAGAAAACUUAUGAUCGAAUAAAUCAUGAGGUUGACGGUACCUUGAUAAGAAGCACCGGCUAACUACGUG